AAGGGGGAACAGAGGAAUCGAGAGGAAACUGAGGCAAGAUUUUCCCCAAAGCGACUGUACCGGCCAAGCGAAGAAACUGCCUAGACACAGGAAACUCUUAUCUGCCCUAAGGUUGCCACACAGGGCGCGGCUGGGCUUUUCUCGUUCCUGUAAUAGAGAAGGCUUCCCCCCGGCUUAGAUGGAACAACCUACAUGAUGUGGCGACGGAGUCCUCGCGAACGACCAGCUUGGUCCCACGUGACCUCCGGGGCAGCACUUCCCAGACCUGAGACCCGCUGGGCGGAAGUUGUUUUCAGGCGUUUAGUUGAGAAAGAAUUAAGUUAGUACUGUCCUCCCGCGUUCCCAACGUGCUUGCAUAAGUAUGCUUCGUAGGACCCGCGCUUUUUUCCUUGAAAGUCGAUUUUGCUGGAAUUCUGUAACCUUGUGCUGGGACACCCCAGGGAAAUGGAGGCACCACGCGGUUAAGGAGUUUCUGCUCCGCCGCCCACGUAAUGUGAGCGGCUGAAACACCGAAAGCGGUCUCCUGCCUUCCAGCCGGGAACGCACACUGUCUACCUCUGUUACGCUUUCCCACCCUGACUUAUCUAAAUCUGGCGAUUUCAGCCAGCGGUAGCAGCAGCCAGUCUGUGCCACAGCUGUAGUCGAAGAAUCAAAGAAAGAAAGACGCUACGGGUUGGAAAUCCAUCUGGUCUGUUCCCACCCCCACUUUACAGGUGAAGAAACCGAAACUUAAAAAGAGACUUGACCGUAAAGCACAAUUGCUUGGCGUCAGGGCCGGUUUUCGAAAUGCCUGUUAAUAUUCUGUCACAGCUCAGGCUUUUAGUAAGGGUGAGCGCCAUCUGAUGCCCAACUCACAAAAAUAUUCAGAGGUGCAUCCAUGCUUAUAUCAAAUGGUAAAACUUAGGUUAUAAAAGCUGUAUUUAACGCUGUUUUCAGCUAUUUGUAUUUAUCAUCUAAUUUUAAUUACGUGCAUUUAGUCUAAUAAAAUAACAUCAGUUGCUUUUGAGAUCUGCUUUUCUAUGGAAACCCCAAAAAAGAAGACUGCAUAAGUGCUUUAUCAUUUUUUACCUAAACUUGAAGCCUUUCCUAACCCUAAAAUCGAAUCAGUGGGAUGCUUCUGUACCCUCAUGACUAUGAAUAUUUGUUCCAUCAACUACACUAGUUGGAGAUUUGCUUGGAUGUAAACAAGAAACUCGGUUUUUGACUGAUCCAACCUAUGGCCAGAAGCGUGAGAGUACAGACAAGAGAACCACCAGGCGAAUGUAGGAAACCGCCUCUGCUGAACUGAGCUAGCUACCCAGGAACACACACACCUCAGACGUGACCAGCCACAUCCGUAACCACGUAUGAGCUGCGUCCACCCACAUCUGGAGUUACAGCUUCCCUCUGGCUGCAGAUAAUGCUCCUUCCGCCACCUCAAGGUCACUCACAAGCUGCAGCUCUUCCCAUGCCACCUCCACAGAUGUCAAGGAGUUUUCAGGGUAGCCCUUCUCGAAGUGUAACUCCCGCCUGGACCGGCCCUCGCCCUCUGCACGCAGAUAUCCAUCCAGAGACAGCCCACCCCGGCCGGGACAUCCCCUCCCUGAACCUCGA